UACGUAGGGUGCGAGCGUUAAUCGGAAUUACUGGGCGUAAAGCGUGCGCAGGCGGUUUUGUAAGCCAGAUGUGAAAUCCCCGGGCUUAACCUGGGAAUGGCAUUUGGGACUGCAAGGCUGGAGUUUGGCAGAGGAGACUGGAAUUCCCGGUGUAGCAGUGAAAUGCGUAGAUAUCGGGAGGAAUACCGAUGGCGAAGGCAGGUCUCUGGGCUAUAACUGACGCUCAUGCACGGAAGCGUGGGGAGCAAACAGG
rnacentral:rRNA from 1 species